ensembl:lncRNA novel transcript
AUUCUGAUUAAGAAAUCUGCUUCUCCUUUCACAAGUGGCCAUCAAGAACAGCUGGUUUUCUAAGAGGCUUCCGAGAUUUGAAAAACGGUGGCUAAUGAUGACAACAGCAACAGCACUGAGCACAGAAAACUCCACAGGCCUGGGCUCGGCUCAUCGCACAGCCUCCAUCUCUGGAUGCCCUGAUUCAAGGAGAUUCAAAACCCGUGUCACUGCUGCCAUCUUCCUAGAAUCCCUUUAAAUCCUCAUGGAUUUGCUGACAUUGGGAGCAUCCUGAAAGAGUCCCCAUGCUAGGGUGGCUGCAGUAACAGGUUCUCCCCACUCCAGAAAAAAUCAAAUCAGAUUGUGAAUUUAUUCCCUGACAUUAACACACGGCAUUACAGGAGCAUGUACAUCACAUGGUCAAUUUAUUGGCAUGAGGAUUAUGUCAUCGGGGAAUAAAUGGGAAAUUCUCAAGGUACUUUGCUCCAGUAAUCAGGACUUUAUUUAUCUCUAAGCUAAAAGAGGGGAUUGACUUCUUUAAUGAUGAUCAGAAAAUGCUUUUAGGAAGAUUCCUUUCCUAUUAAACAAUUUCUUAAAGUUGCAGUAAAUGUUGUGUGGCUUGUCUAUGCCCAAGGCUUGGCAGCACACUUUCCUUUGUCUUCAAAACCAUGGGAAAGAAUGUCACAGGAGUCUUGGAGGAAAAAUAAUUACAAAGAGGAAAAGGUUGAUCAAGGGCCAGUUAAUGUUACUGAUGACAUAUCGGUAAGGUUCUCCAGGCCCAAUUCUUUUUGGGGGACUUUGGCUCCACAAGCAAAUGCCACUUGGUGAUAUGGCUCCCAGCACUGGCCACCUCAGUGUUCCCUACACUACUGGAGAAAUUUAGGCCUAAAUUAAAAUCAGAGUCAUGCAA